CUCAUCCUGCCAAGAAAGAAAUAUGGCUACCAAAGUAACAUGCUUGCUCUUCGCCAUUCUCUUGCUCUCCAUUAACAUACACUUUAGCGUUGUCACAUCCCGCAAAGAUCCUUCAUUCUCGGGAAAAGUUGAAGAGAAGAUACCGGGCGGGCACAAGACUGCACACGCAGCUGGAUCCGAAGAAAAGGUUUUACUGAUUGGACCCAAUAUCCUGCUCCGUCCGCGGCCCAUGCCACCGUGCAAGAGAAGGUGUUACUGAUUUGGCCAAAAUGGCAUUCUGAAAUUGAGAUUUACGACAUCCGGAAUCAGUAAAACUAUAUGUGUGAUUGGUAUUUCGGUUAUCAACGAGGCUUGACUUUUGGUGUUUCCUUCAAAUAAAGCUUGCCCCUGGUUUUAAUAUUAGUUACUUCAAUUAUCAUGUAAUCAGAAAUCAGACAAUAUGGUGCAAUUGAUUGCAAAACUGUUCGUUUGGAAUUAUCUCA